GAAACACACCCUGCUCUGGAGGAUUCCCUGGCUGCUGGAAAGCAACAAUCCAAACAUUGAUAAAGGCUUGACAGUACAAGACAUUGCAAUCUGUUCAACUGGAAUUGUGAGCAAGAGGAAUUCUAGAAAUUGAUAACAGUUUAGAACAUCUUCCCUUGUCACUUCAAAUUGGCUCAGAGGUUGGCCCACCGUUUCAGAGGUGAAGGGAGGCCACAGAGGAGGAGAGACACUGCACUCUGCAUGCCCACCAAUGUUUGCCGUAGGGAUGCGGUUGACUUCUGACGUGGCAUAGGGAGUUUUGCAAGAAAAUCCUGGGGAUUUCCAUGGUAGACCAGUACCAGCAACAAUGUGAAACUAAAAGACGUGUUGCAGACAACUUGCUGCAGAAGCUUUCAUCAGCUGGGAAUUAUGCUUGCAAUAUAUGUAUCAGUGGCAUGACUGCUUUAAAAUAUCUUUAUUAUGACAUUUCCUUUUAGUAUUACAGUGUGAGAAGCCUUUGGGGAUUAAUAUUUUUGUCAAGUACUUUCAUUUUAAUGUUGCUGUGAGGGACUUCCCUUAAUCACAGAAACCCUUUCCCCCCACAAAAGCUUCAUUUUCACAAUAUAAUAUGACCCUCUCAACUUUUGGCCCCAAGCAGUAAUUUGUCUGUCAUUUCUAAACACCCUUCCUUCUUCAUACUAAAUGCUUCUGGGACUUUAGAGAUAACAGUGGGUAGGAAACAAGAUGGUUGAAUGACAAGUAGGACUACAGCCUGCAUUACCAAAAGGCUUCAGUGUUGAAAACCUUUCUUGAUACCAGCACUCCAAAUUGACAUUUAGUUUUGCUGAAGUUAACCUUCUGUUUUUAAUUAAAACACAGUCUGAUCAACACUUAAUUAUACAUGCAGGAAACUCUACUGAGCUGGCUAGCUCCACGUCUCUCAUCCCCUUGCUACUUUGAACACAGAACAUCAAAGAGUGACAGUCGGCUCUUUUCAAACUGUCCCAUCCGUAUCAUGGCUAGAAAGUAACUGCAAAAUGUCCUCUACCCAGUCUGGAUGGUUUUGCUUCAUAAUUGGUCAUAGGUCCGUUGUCUAGGGUUUGAUCAAUAAAGAUUCAGGGCCAGAUGCUGGCAUCCCACCUAGUGGGCUACCUGGUGGUGCUUCAGCCCAAGAGCCCUCUUCUGGCCUCUGUAAUUUACAGGUAGAACUUAGCUUGGCCAGAUCUUGACCCUCUCUGACAUAGGAAGCAAGCUUUUGACAAUCCACUCAAUGUCUGGUGUCUUAAAUUUUCAUUGUAAAAUUGCUGUUGAUUCCUCUUCGUCUUCCUGAAUGGGGGACAAGUAGAACGGAAUCACAAUAAGUGUCCACCAAGCCACUCUGUCAUUUUCUGUUUGGGGCAGCCUGCUCAGGUUAAUCUGCAGUGGAGCAUACCAAGAACGAAUGUACGGUUCCAACUUUAGGGAUGUGCAAAUUGAUUCAGGUACAAAUCAAUUUGUACCUGAAUCUAUCUGAUUCGGGUGAUUUCUAGACAAAACAAAUCACUCCUGUGGUGCAUUGGCUAGAUUCAAGUACAAAUCAAAUUGCACCUGAUUCAAUUCAAACUGAUUUGAGAUUUGGAUCCCUCCUAUUAAUUCCCCCAGAUUACCAGCUUUCAUUUCUUUAAAAAGCUAAGCUCUAGCCCUUGCAGAAGUUGAGUUCUGGAGCAAAUGUCUGGCCACUAUUUUUCAAGUGUUUGGAUUCUUUGGUGUAUAAUAACUUUCCCUCAAUAAAUCCUUAUGAAGAUUCAUUACACACCUUCAUUUCUUCUAUUCAUUUUGACUGUCUUUUUGACAGUGCCAACUGUCAACUGCCAUGUGCCAACUACACCCCACUCCCACCCGCAAGACAGUGGCGUACUACUCAGCUUAUGUUCUAGGAUUUUUUUUUCAAGUGUUUAGGCUCUUUGGUGUCUAAUAACCUUUCCUCAUAAUGAAUCCCUAUGAGGAUUCAUUACACAUCAAAGAGUCUAAACACUUCAAAAAUUCCUAAAAUAUAAACUGUGGCUUGUGGGUUGCAGUGGCUUGUGGGUUGCAGGGUAGUUGGAAUAUGGGAUGCCACUAAUUCGCUGCCCCUACCAUAAAAGCUGUGGGGUCAAAAUGAACAGAAGAAAUGAAGGUGUGUAAUGAAGACGCCAAAGAAUCUAAACACUUCAAAAAUACAAAAAUAAAUUGAGUACCCCAGUGUGUGUGUGGGCAGGGAGGGUGUAGUUGACACAUGGCAGUUGACAGUUGGCACUGUCCAAUGAUAGUCAAAAUGAACAGAAGAAAUGAAGGUAUGCACCUUCAUAUGGGGAUUCAUUAUGAGGAAAAGUUAUUAGACACAAAAGAAUCUAAACAUUUCAAUAUUCCUAAAAAUUAAAAUGUGUACCCCACUGCCUUCCAGGUGUGUGUGU